CCCCACUUACAAAACAGCUCGCUCCUGAUUUGGCUGGUGCCUCUGGGUGGUACUGCGAUGCACACCGACAAAGAAGGAACAGAAGGGACCAUCUGUAGGGUGGUGCAAAAUGUAGUCAGAAGUCACAACACAGAAAGAGGAGGAGGAGGAAGAGAGAGAAAGAGAAAACUAAAAACCCUGAAGGAUGGUUCUCAAAAAUCCUAAAGGAACCACAGGGAAUUCCUUUUGAGCGCCACAGCGAGCCAGCCAGCUGAGGCUUCCUUCAGAGAUUUCAAGUUGCUUUGAAGUAGGAAUCGCGACCAC
rnacentral:lncRNA from 1 species